rnacentral:rRNA from 1 species
GUCCUAAGUAUAGCAAUCUAUACAGUGAAACUGCGAAUGGCUCAUUAAAUCAGUUAUCGUUUAUUUGAUAGUACCUUACUACUUGGAUAACCGUGGUAAUUCUAGAGCUAAUACAUGCUAAAAACCCCGACUUCGGAAGGGGUGUAUUUAUUAGAUAAAAAACCAAUGCUCUUCGGGGCUCCUUGGUGAUUCAUAAUAACUUAACGAAUCGCAUGGCCUUGUGCCGGCGAUGGUUCAUUCAAAUUUCUGCCCUAUCAACUUUCGAUGGUAGGAUAGUGGCCUACCAUGGUUUCAACGGGUAACGGGGAAUUAGGGUUCUAUUCCGGAGAGGGAGCCUGAGAAACGGCUACCACAUCCAAGGAAGGCAGCAGGCGCGCAAAUUACCCAAUCCCGACACGGGGAGGUAGUGACAAUAAAUACUGAUACAGGGCUCUUUUGAGUCUUGUAAUUGGAAUGAGUACAAUUUAAAUCCCUUAACGAGGAACAAUUGGAGGGCAAGUCUGGUGCCAGCAGCCGCGGUAAUUCCAGCUCCAAUAGCGUAUAUUAAAGUUGUUGCAGUUAAAAAGCUCGUAGUUGAACCUUGGGCCUGGCUGGCCGGUCCGCCUCACCGCGUGCACUGGUCCGGCCGGGCCUUUCCUCCUGGGGAGCCGCAUGCCCUUCACUGGGUGUGUCGGGGAACCAGGACUUUUACUUUGAAAAAAUUAGAGUGUUCAAAGCAGGCCUAUGCUCGAAUACAUUAGCAUGGAAUAAUAGAAUAGGACGUGUGGUUCUAUUUUGUUGGUUUCUAGGACCGCCGUAAUGAUUAAUAGGGAUAGUCGGGGGCAUCAGUAUUCAAUUGUCAGAGGUGAAAUUCUUGGGAUUUAUUGAAGACUAACUACUGCGAAAGCAUUU